rnacentral:rRNA from 1 species
AGCGAACGCUGGCGGCAUGCUUAACACAUGCAAGUCGCACGGAUCUUUCGGGAUCAGUGGCGGACGGGUGAGUAACGCGUAGGGAUCUAUCCAUGGGUGGGGGACAACUCCGGGAAACUGGAGCUAAUACCGCAUGAUACCUGAGGGUCAAAGGCGCAAGUCGCCUGUGGAGGAACCUGCGUUCGAUUGGCUAGGUGGUGGGGUAAAGGCCUACCAAGGCGAUGAUCGAUAGCUGGUUUGAGAGGAUGAUCAGCCACACUGGGCCUGAGACACGGCCCAGACUCCUACGGGAGGCAGCAGUGGGGAAUAUUGGACAAUGGGCGAAAGCCUGAUCCAGCAAUGCCGCGUGUGUGAAGAAGGUCUUCGGAUUGUAAAGCACUUUCGACGGGGACGAUGAUGACGGUACCCGUAGAAGAAGCCCCGGCUAACUUCGUG